rnacentral:rRNA from 1 species
UACGAAGGUGGCAAGCGUUACUCGGAAUUACUAGGCGUAAAGGGCAGGUAGGCGGUUUGAAAAGUCUGUUGUGGAAGCUCCCGGCUUAACUGGGAGAGGUCAACGGAAACUUUCAGACUCGAGUGUGGGAGAGGGUACUGGAAUUCCCGGUGUAGCGGUGAAAUGCGCAGAGAUCGGGAGGAACACCAACGGCGAAAGCAGGUACCUGGACCAAUACUGACGCUCAGCUGCGAAAGCUAGGGGAGCAAACAGG